UGUGGAUACCCCAAAAUAUUUGUCCUCAGGGUGAAAGAAGGAUAGGAAGGGGAUGAGUUUAGUGCUCCCCAGGCUGCCACGUGCUGUGAUCUGUUACUGCUUUGUGAGUGGAGCUGGUCUAGAGAAGAGAAGCUCCUUUUGACAGCACAUAUUUACACAUCCGGAUGCUUCGUGUUCUCUGUCUUGUCAUCCUUGCCUGAGAGCCUUCAAACAAGGUUUGAAGUGUAAUCUCACAUCCAUCACUAUCUAGAAAAUGUCUUAUGGAUCCAUUGAUGGGAGUGGAUUUGGGAGCAGGAACCCAUUUGGAGGCCCUUCGAGACAAGGCUAUCAACCUCUCGCCACCCAGAUUGAUCCCAGCGAACUGCAGGAGCUUUUUCAGGAGACUUCAGCCAACGUGUUCCGAAUUAACUCCAAUG